AUGGCUGUCGUCAGCUCGUGUCGUGAGAUGUUGGGUUAAGUCCGUAACGAGCGCAACCCUUGUCCUUAGUUACCAGCACGUUAUGGUGGGCACUCUAAGGAGACUGCCGGUGACAAACCGGAGGAAGGUGGGGGAGUGACGUCAAGUCAUCAUGGCCCUUACGGCCUGGGCUACACACGUGCUACAAUGGUCGGUACAAAGGGUUGCCAAGCCGCGAGGUGGAGCUAAUCCCAUAAAACCGAUCGUAGUCCGGAUCGCAGUCUGCAACUCGACUGCGUGAAGUCGGAAUCGCUAGUAAUCGUGAAUCAGAAUGUCACGGUGAAUACGUUCCCGGGCCUU
rnacentral:rRNA from 1 species